rnacentral:rRNA from 1 species
UACGUAGGGGGCAAGCGUUGUCCGGAUUCAUUGGGCGUAAAGAGCGUGUAGGCGGCCAGGUAGGUCGGUUGUGAAAACUGGAGGCUCAACCUUCAGAGGUCGACCGAAACCAUCUGGCUAGAGUCCGGGAGAGGAGAGUGGAAUUCCUGGUGUAGCGGUGAAAUGCGCAGAUAUCAGGAAGAACACCCGUGGCGAAAGCGGCUCUCUGGAACGGUACUGACGCUGAGGCGCGAAAGCCAGGGGAGCGAACGGG